CACACACACUCACUCUGUCACUCCGCCGCCGCUGCUCUCCAAACCCUAUUUCCCAUUCCGAUCUCCCUAUUCAUCUCAUCUCCGUUCUUACAGAUCGAGCGACGAGACAAGAGAAACCGUCGGUCCUCUCUUUCGCCCUGCAAAUUGCUCCCCUUCCCUUGUCCUCCUCUCCGGACACUCCCACGGGCGACGCUGUAGGAAUUGGCCUUCCCUGGCGUACUCCUCACGGCAGAUCUGCGCCAGCUCUGGGAUUCUGAAUCAACGUCAUCUGCCAACUUCUGUGUCAUCUCCGUCGUCCACCCCGGAGUCAGGUAGCAAACUUUAUUGUAGAGUGAGAUGUUCCAGCUUGGCCAGAGAAAUGAAGAUAAGUUGAGUAUUAUUUGGCUUACUCAUGGAACUUCUGGAAGAAGAAAAAAACAUUAUGUUCAUUCUGCCUUUGGCAUGGGAGGAAUUGGAAAAAUAAAAUGGUAGAAAAUCAAGUCGUAUUGAAAUACAACAAUUGAGUCGUAGAAGUAGAAAGAAAGGAGGUGUUGCUAUUGACGAUGAGACAAUACGAAUUGAGAAUUCACUUAAAGAGGUUGUAGAUCGUCUCCUCCAAGAUAAACCUGAAGGAACACAACCGUUGGAAGUCCAUGAGGAGGCAUAUCGGAAAAUAUAACUAAUAAGUUAUCGAGAAUGGACUCUAACAAUUCACUCAAUUCAUCAUAAGAUUUACAUGAUAAAGAACCAAUUGCUGAUGAGAAAAUUGAUAAGAAAAAAGGACGAGGUGCGUCAAAGUUGAAAAUGGUUAGUGGCCAAGACAAGUGCAAAGAGCUGGAGCGUAAUGAGUUUGGACAGCCGAUUGGAGAUAAUUCAGUGAAGUACGCUUCUUUCCUAGGUUGCAUGAUAAAGGAAUUUGUGCCAUAUACAUUAGAUGGAUAGAAUGCUAUUGAUGAAGCAGUGAAGGAUAAGAUGUGGAGUUGUCUGCAGAUGACUUGUAAAGUUAAGGAUUGGGAAAAGAAAUCAAUUUUUCAAAAGUUUGCUAAAUUGUGGCGCGAUAGAAAAUUCAAGUUGUAAAUACUUAUACAAGAAGCUAAUACAAGUCAAGUGGUUUCACGAGAUCUCAAUUUGUUGAAGCCUGAAUUUAUAGAGCAAAAUCAGUAGAACUUGUUUAUACAGAGGAUAUUAUCAUCUACCUUUCAAAUUUCCACCAUUAGAGUCAUCAUUAUGGAAGCAUGCAUGCAGAGGACAGAUGGAAGGAGUUUCAAAUGAAGCAAGGAGUUUCCUUUGGAGAACAGAUGGAAGUAUGCAUGCAGAUUUAGAGUCAUAAUUAUGCACAGAACUUCCUGACAAUAGAUUAUAUUUCUUUGAACGAAUAACAGAGGCCCCCAUAGAAGAAUUUAUUAAGGAAGUUGGAUUUGGCUUUUCAUUGGAUAAAUCAACUAUUAAAGGAAAUUUUACAACCCAUAGUAAAUAUGACCCUCAACAUAGAGACAUAUGCUGGGUAUUUCUUUAUUCUACUUCAGAAUUUUCACAUGAGUUGAUUUUUUUAUUAUAUGUUGA